GAUGAACGCUGGCGGCGUGCCUAAUACAUGCAAGUCGAGCGAACGGACGAGAAGCUUGCUUCUCUGAUGUUAGCGGCGGACGGGUGAGUAACACGUGGAUAACCUACCUAUAAGACUGGGAUAACUUCGGGAAACCGGAGCUAAUACCGGAUAAUAUUUUGAACCGCAUGGUUCAAAAGUGAAAGACGGUCUUGCUGUCACUUAUAGAUGGAUCCGCGCUGCAUUAGCCAGUUGGUAAGGUAACGGCUUACCAAGGCAACGAUGCAUAGCCGACCUGAGAGGGUGAUCGGCCACACUGGAACUGAGACACGGUCCAGACUCCUACGGGAGGCAGCAGUAGGGAAUCUUCCGCAAUGGGCGAAAGCCUGACGGAGCAACGCCGCGUGAGUGAUGAAGGUCUUCGGAUCGUAAAACUCUGUUAUUAGGGAAGAACAGAUGUGUAAGUAACUGUGCACAUCUUGACGGUACCUAAUCAGAAAGCCACGGCUAACUACGUG
rnacentral:rRNA from 1 species